ensembl:misc_RNA Metazoa_SRP Metazoan signal recognition particle RNA
GCUGGGCAUGGUGGCAUAUGCCUGUAAUUCCAGCUACUCAGAAGGCUGAGGCAGGAUAAUUGCUUGAACUCAGGAGACGGAGAGUGCAGUGAGCUGAGAUUGAGUCACUGCACUCCAGCCUGGGUGACAGAGCAAGACUCUGUCUUAA